rnacentral:lncRNA from 1 species
GGGUAAUGUGAGGCUGUGUGGCCCUUGUUAUCUUUUGGUCGGGAUGAAGAAAUUGGGUGCACAUUGCUGAGUCAUUGCUGGCGAGCACUGUAAGGUCUGUAAGGUAAAAUAUAAAGGCACUGUUGCUCACACAAUCAGCUUGUACGUCUGCCUUUGAAUCUACUUUGCCUAUGGCUUGGGCAGCAACUGAUGGCUGUUUUAUUCCUGAUAUAUUAAUAUGGGCUCCUGAAGUAAUGAUUACAGUGUCUAAGGAGGAAAUGGGGUCCUAUGGAGUCUUCGGUAUGAUCACAGCCCUUGGAGGAAAAAAUGAUUCUUUUAAAAGCACAAAUACUAGAUCAAGGACUUGAUAUAUCCAAGGGAUCUUUUUCUGCCCUGAGCAAGGGUGAAAACUCCAAAGCUCCAAAGCAAUGGAAAUCUCCAGAGAUGUCCACGCCAAAUAGGUUCUUGCCUGUCCUUAUUCAAAAGGCUAUUUAUCCUUCUCAAGGCUUGUGAAGUGAUUUUCAUGAAAUGAAAACCGCUGUUUGCAAAACAAGAAGUCAAGGAGUUUUACUCUGGGAGGCAUCAAAAACAAGAACUGCAAAGUUUUUCAAAAUAAAAUGUUUCAUAUAAGAAAAAAUUGAAAUAAU